rnacentral:ncRNA from 1 species
AAGAGCCGUAUGAUGGGAGACCAUCACGUACGAUUCUGUGAGAGGGGCGAGGUGAAA